CGAUAAUGACGGUACCCGGAGAAGAAGCACCGGCUAACUACGUGCCAGCAGCCGCGGUAAUACGUAGGCUGCAAGCGUUGUUCGGAAUUACUGGGCGUAAAGCGUGUGUAGGCGGUUUUCUAAGUCUGAUGUGAAAUCCCCGGGCUCAACUCGGGAAGUGCAUUGGAAACUGGAAGGCUUGAGUAUGGGAGAGGUAAGUGGAAUUCCUGGUGUAGCGGUGAAAUGCGUAGAUAUCAGGAGGAACACCUGUGGUGAAGGCGGCUUCCUGGACCGAUACUUACGCUGAGACGGGCCAGCGUAAGAGC
rnacentral:rRNA from 1 species